UACAGAGGGGGCAAGCGUUGUUCGGAAUUACUGGGCGUAAAGGGCGCGUAGGCGGCCGCCUAAGUCAGACGUGAAAUCCCUCGGCUCAACCGGGGAACUGCGUCUGAUACUGGGUGGCUUGAAUCCGGGAGAGGGAUGCGGAAUUCCAGGUGUAGCGGUGAAAUGCGUAGAUAUCUGGAGGAACACCGGUGGCGAAGGCGGCAUCCUGGACCGGUAUUGACGCUGAGGUGCGAAAGCGUGGGGAGCAAACAGG
rnacentral:rRNA from 1 species